GUGCUCGCUUCGGCAGCACAUAUACUAAAAUUGGAACGGUACAGAGAUUAGCAUGGCCCUUGCACAAGGAUGACACGCAAAUGUCAUCCUUGCGUGUCAUAUUU